AAUUAAAACCAUUGGAAGAUGUAGAUGAAUUCUCAAAAAUAAGUGAAGUAUUUAAAAAAACAAAUGGAAUAGGGGAAAGUUCUACUGCCGUGGAAAAAGGCAGCAG
rnacentral:rRNA from 14 species